rnacentral:rRNA from 1 species
UGUGGGAAUUGCUGGAGAUACUAUUAGGCUUGAGAUCGGGAGAGGUCAGAGGUACUCCUGGGGUAGGGGUGAAAUCCUGUAAAUCCGUAGGAGGACCACCUGUGGCGAAGGCGUCUGACUAGAACGAAUCUGACGGUGAGGAACGAAAGCUAGGGGCGCGAACCGGAUUAGAUACCCGGGUAGUCCUAGCCGUAAACUAUGCGGACUUGGUGUGAGGGUGGCUUUGAGCCGUCCUGGUGCCGAAGGGAAGCUGUUAAGUCCGCCGCCUGGGAAGUACGGUCGCAAGACUGAACUUAAAGGAAUUGGCGGGGAGCACCACAACGCGUGGAGCCUUGCGGUUUAAUUGGAUUCAACGCCGGAGAUCUCACCAGCGGCGACAGCAGUAUGAUGACCAGGUUGAUGACUUUGUUUGACAAGCUGAGAAGAGGUGCAUGG